UGCACAGCUGCCUGACCACAGCCACAACCCUGCAGAGCCACGCAGGCAGCGGGAAGCUGAUGCCCAGGCUGUUCCCCAAUCUCCCUCCCAGGUGAAAAUAAACACAUGUCUAGCUGUGAGCCUGCUGGACUCAUCUUCUCGCAAGCAAGUCCUCUGCAUGUGUUCUAAAGGAGGGAAACGUGCAGCUGAAAGUAUGGAGUGCACCCUGCCCUUCUGGAGCCUUCAAAAAGUUAAACAGUGAAAGGUUGCAUUGACCCUAACCAAGGGCUGUUUCUGCAUGAUCAGCUCACUCACACAGCUCCCACUCUCAUAUCCACGAGUCAUGUCGAGAGGAGAGAUGUUUCCUACCCAGAUAUUGUUACUCGUAACCCAGGCCAUCAUUGUCCUUCAUCCUUGAGGAAGACCUGUUGCACUGCAGGUUUUGCUGAGGUGCUCUCUAGUGCCUGCCUGCUGGCAUGAAGUGCUGGAGCCCUGGAGCACUGGUCUUGCCACUGGGAUUUUGGGUGCACAUACUUAUGGCUGUCAGCUUGCAGCUUCACCUCUCCGAAGUGGCCACAGACCAUUUGGUGCCCUCACUUGAUUUCACAGGCUUCAUCUUCUCAACUUUCAGUGUCAAUGUCUCAUUGAUAAGGGCUACUACACCUAAUUGCUACUGCAACUGCUAUUAGAGUUAACAGCAACCUUUGUACCCCAGAUAAGCUGGCAAAAAUGCUGAGUGUCCUCUGGCCCACAUGGCUUAGAGGAUGGCAGGGUGGUGGACUUCCUUCCGCCCCCUACCACCACCUCCACUGACUGCAUCCAAGCUUGAUCACAGGAAGAAGGCCUCCAUGUGCCAUAAGGACCAGAGAUGUCUGAGAUGGCACCUCGUGGCACCUGGAGGCUGGCAGGCUGUCCCCAGACCUUGGAGGGAUGUAGUAACACAGAGAGGGUGGCCAGACUCACUGAACACAUCUUGGCUCUUCGGGAGGUACCUGAAGGAUGCUGGUGUCCAGGACAAAUAGUACACACCUGCACUAUUAAAUGAUACACACAGGAGGGAAGCAAGCAUUACAUGCGUGCACAGAGACAUGCAUUCACUCAAAAAAUGUAAAGCUCAUAAGUCGCCUAGGUGGGACUUCAGCUAAGAGAAAAGCAGGAAAAAUUAAGGGAUGUCACCAACAAGCAAAUGCACCACAAUGAGAAUUUAGCAUGCACAAGUGAAAAAUAGCUGCUGCGUAGUUCAGAAAUAUAAAAAUAGUUUGGCUUUUCCCCUACCCUUUCCUUUCAGUCAUCACUUCUCUGCAGCCCUGGGGUUUGUUUGUGUCAGUUGCUAUGGGGAGGCUGUGCUGCCAAGCCCUUCUGGGGAAAAGUCAUUCAACUAACGAACCAACCCAGGGCUAACAGUUCUGUAAAAAUAUUAACUCAGACUUUCUCCCUCUCUCUUUGAAUAUCUGACAGCACACCUCAAUGCAAUAAAGAAUCACUGUACGACCCCUUCUCACAAACUAUUACCUGCCCUUUAAAAGAGUUGCAGUAUGUAUCAACGAAGUGGUGUUCAGCUGCUCCCUGUAACAAGUGCCAUCCCACCCAACCCAUGAGGUCACUGCUGACACCAUAUCACCACUCACAGGAAGGAGAAUAUGCCUGUGGCUAUGUCCAGCCUGGGUACCCAAGGAAACACCCUGGGCCACAUUUUGCUGCUUUGAGCUGUGAGCACACAGGUACCCCAGCCCUGCAAAAUCCACUCUGCCAAGGCAGAACACGACAGAAGAAAAGUGCCUGUUCUCCUCUGCACUCCUCGGGUGGGCUGAAGGCACAGUGCAGGAGCCAGCACGCCUCACGGGAGCAGUGACUUGCCCACACCGUAGGGCAUGGCAUUUGGCAGUGAAGUGGUGUCACUUCUAGUGCUCAUCACAUUUUCAGGAACACAAAUGCACCUCAUCUAUGCCUGAUAACAAUGUUGACAAGUAUCUGCAGGCAAGGGCUUGCAGCACCCACUUUUAGUGUUCUGGCUCUGUUCAUAGACAACUUGCAGAAAACAUGCACCUCCUUUCCAUACUCCUUCCCCUCUGCUCUGCACCCUCCCAAACAUCACCGUUUGGCCAGGUUACAGACAUGGCAGGCUCUCACUGGUCAGCAGGGUCAUACUUUAUGGAGUGCCUGCAGUCCAUCACCUCCUAAUAAAUGCAUUUUGGCACCCCCUGUAUUUGUGAGUUUAAACAUUCCUGUCUGCAAUAAACCUGUCUUGCUCGCCCCACAACUGUCUGAGCACUGUAUUUCCCUUUCCUGCAAUGUUCAAAUAUACUGUUUGGCACCUAAAGGCUUCACAUUUUUAUAACACCUUCUAUGUUUGCAGCACUGUGCAGUCAUUCAUUGCCAUCUCCCAACACCCUAGCUAGGUUGGCAAGUAAAUAUU